AGUGAACGCUGGCGGUAGGCCUAACACAUGCAAGUCGAACGGCAGCACAGUAAGAGCUUGCUCUUACGGGUGGCGAGUGGCGGACGGGUGACGAAUACAUCGGCAUCUACUUUUUCGUGGGGGAUAACGUAGGGAAACUUACGCUAAUACCGCAUACGACCUACGGGUGAAAGCAGGGGAUCUUCAGACCUUGCGUGAUUGAAUGAGCCGAUGUCGGAUUAGCUAGUUGGCGGGGUAAAGGCCCACCAAGGCGACGAUCCGUAGCUGACCUGAGAGGAUGAUCAGCCACACUGGAACUGAGACACGGUCCAGACUCCUACGGGAGGCAGCAGUGGGGAAUAUUGGACAAUGGGCGCAAGCCUGAUGCAGCAAUACCGCGUGAGUGAAGAAGGCCUUCGGAUUGUAAAGCCCUGUUGUUAGGAAAGAAAAGCAGUGGGAUAAUCCACCGCCGUCCUGACGGUACCCAAAGAGUAAGCACCGGCUAACUUCGUG
rnacentral:rRNA from 1 species